GGGUCGAUAGCUCAGCUGGUUAGAGCAGCGGAUUUUUAAUCCGUUGGUCCUGGGUUCGAGUCCCAGUCGACCCACCU
rnacentral:tRNA from 1 species